CCCCCCCCACCACAUCCCGAGCUUUCCUCUGUGUUAACCCUGACAGGAAGGAGGUGCCAGUGGCUUUGGAUGUGACAGUGCAGCACCUCGUCACUGGAGUCGAUGAACUGGCAGUAACCCCACAACCCUGUCUGUCCGCCGCAAGGUAUCUGACACCAGAAACACUUGGGAUAACGCCGCAUCUACACACUGAUGCUGCACUGAAGCAGUGGUUAAAUUUGGCUCCCUGCUGCGCUACAGUGAAGAAAAGAAGCCGCUGCUGUGUUUACCCUUCAGUACACUGAGAAUCAGAGUGUGAAUCCUUCCUGCUUUAUAGAAAACAUCACAUCUCUAGUGAUUCUUGAGUAUGAAAAUCAUGAAGCUUGGCUCAGUGAGACAGUCUUGCAUCAUGUUUCAUUAAAAUCGGUCUGGUAGUGUUUGUGUAAUCUUGGUAACAGAGAAUUCAAGAAAUAAAAAAACAUGCUGUUCACUACUGGAAAAUGUACUAUUUUGUAUGUUUCGCAUUUCUUUUUAGUGAAACUGAACAAUAUCUAGCAGAAUAAAAUGUGGUUACAUAUUAAA